UCAAGCAUCCCAGGCCGCUGCCCUUCUUCGGCAACCUGUUUAUGUUUCGCCAGGUAAGACCGCCACGUUCACAACACGCACUGACUGAAGAGGUCCAGACCAGCAGAGGAAAUGGUCUGAUUGAGGCGAGGGAUGAACCCAAUCUCCUGGAUGGAGCUCCCAAUUCAACCCAGAUCAAAAAUAACUAUUAGUGUCCAAACAAAACACAUAUCAAAGAUGAUGUUGCAUGCACAGACACACAAACGCCCGGGAAAACAACGGGACAGCAACCGGGGAACAUGUGCUGAGCAGCUCUGCGGCAGAUCACAGUGCGUGAGAGUUAAUGGUGUCCUCUCAAACAAGCGCCACGCAACCACUCACGGAUGGGUAUUCUCUCCCCUUCUUUACAUCCUUCACACAAAAAGCAGACAGAGCCAGUUUAAGAAUGGACUCAUCAUAAAAUCUUCAGAUGACGCAGUCAUAGUUGGCCUGCUGAAGAGAGGGGAACUUGAUCAGGGAUCGGUCCUUAAUAAAUUUGUGUCAUCUUUCCUUCUUUCCUUUGAACUGAAUGCGUCUUAAACCAAGGACAUAGUUGUUUAGGUUAGGAAAUCAGCCCCCAUCCCCAAACUCACUUAUUAACAAGGUACAUCAACGUGUCGACUUCUUGAGGAAAAUUAACUAGUAUCGAGUCUGUGCCUUCUUUAUGUACCAUACCAUGGCGUGGUUUUGGAGCCUGAGUCUGGCCAAUAAGAUUAUAUAAGCGUGGCCGGCUUUUCUGAGUUAUUUGGGUGAACCAGCCACAGCUCUCUUACCUUUAUGACCCGUAAAGAAGGCCCAUGCCCAUAUUGGUCUGUACUGACCAACGCGGGCAGGGGGACUUAAAGCUUCUACCUUAGAGUAGAUAUAGAGUUUAAACUCAGAGGUCCAUAUGAAUUAUAAGACUCUUUUGUUUGCACUUCAAUCAGAAGGAUGAAUUCGCACAAGUGAUUGCACUAAGACUAAGCCCUUCCUGCACUCAGUAAUUUGUCUUUUGUCUUCACGUGAAGUGAUCUUGCACUUGCUGUGCCUUGCUUGUCAGUGUACUGUAUUUUUAAUGUUGUAUCUUUGUCCUGUCUGGUGUGUUGUCUUUCCUGUUGGAUUCAGGUUGGAUUGAAUGUAAAUAUCUGGCUGCAAACAUAUUUUCCCUUGCGGGAUAAUCAAUUUGACUUGAUUUGACUGAAAUCACAAGAACACAUCAUAAUAAUUUGUAAUUAAUCAGUCAUCAGUAAUUAGCACAGUUGAAAGGGAUGUUGAGUAGGUG
ensembl:lncRNA